rnacentral:rRNA from 1 species
UACGAAGGGGGCUAGCGUUGUUCGGAAUUACUGGGCGUAAAGCGCGCGCAGGCGGUCUUCCAAGUCAGGGGUGAAAUCCUGGAGCUCAACUCCAGAACUGCCUUUGAUACUGGCGACCUUGAGUCCGGGAGAGGUGAGUGGAACUGCGAGUGUAGAGGUGAAAUUCGUAGAUAUUCGCAAGAACACCAGUGGCGAAGGCGGCUCACUGGCCCGGUACUGACGCUGAGGUGCGAAAGCGUGGGGAGCAAACAGG